ACGAUUUCAGGGAAGAGACGGUUAGGGUUCCUUUAGUUCUUGACGAAGUUGUGCUGUGUUGUUGUGUUUUUUUUUCCAAUGUUAUGUAAUUAAAGAGAUGGUUGAUUGUUCUCUAUUACUGAUGUGGAUACUUAAUUAGUGAUGUGGAUUUAAUGUUUAAAAAUAAUUUCAAUUAAAAAAAAACUAAUCAAAUAUCCUUAUUGUCAUGUACUAGGGGUAUCCAAACACUCUAGUAAUUUUUAAAAGAUGUAUAACACUCUAGUAAUAAACCAACUUUUCUUAUACAUUCUAGUAAUUUUCUCAUUUAUAUAUUAGAUUCUUCAGUGGCACAUUGAUGUUAUAUAUUUUUGAGUCUUCGGUUGUCGACGAUCCUGAAGAUGGAGAUGAAUUUAUUUAGAGCAUCUCCUAAGU
rnacentral:lncRNA from 1 species